UACGUAGGGGGCGAGCGUUGUCCGAAGUUACUGGGCGUAAAGCGCGCGUAGGCGGGGGGUUAAGUGAGAGGUGAAAGGCUAGGGCUCAACCUCAUGCAGUGCCUCUCAUACUGGCCUUCUUGAGGGCGGUAGGGAGAAGUGGAAUGGCUGGUGUAGCGGUGAAAUGCGUAGAUAUCAGUCGGAACACCGGUGGCGAAGGCGGCUUCUUGGGCCGUUCCUGACGCUGAUGCGCGAAAGCUGGGGGAGCGAACGGG
rnacentral:rRNA from 1 species